AGAGGGAAGGAAAUGAGGCAACCUUUUUCUUUGCACUGACUCAACCUCCCUGCCAAAUGUUUCCACUUACUGAGGGAGCGAGCCUGGCUCUGCCUGCGCGUGUGUGUGCAGAGCGUGGAGUUCAGUGACAGACGCAAGCUGAGCAGAGCUGCUGCGCUCGCUGCCUGUUUGAUUGAGCCGGGUGCUCGGGAAUUCCUGCUAUGAUGAUUUUUUAAUUCACUCGCUCAGGAGGCUGCUGUCGGUGCCGUGCUAAGAGCCGUGUUUGGCUUUUCUCAAAUGCAGAAAACGGCUGUGGCGUUCUGCCACUUACAGCCCUCCGCUUUGUCCCAGCCGCUCGCGCACCGCUCUGCAAAGCUGUUCAUCAGCUCUGUGGCUGCUGCUCUUGCCGUGCCUGGAGAGAGAAAUUGAAAAUGAUUUGUUUCCACAAUUUGUAGGGUCCGUAGUCUAAACAAACGCCCCCAAACCCACCUACGUCUCUGCUGGAGAGACCUCAGGGCGCGUCAUUUCAGCUUGCCUGGAGGAUUCAGAGACCAGAUGUUCAUAUAUGAAAACACUCAGGAAACAGUGAUGAGGAAACUCCAUUGGGAGCUGAUGCUGAUCUUACUUACACCUGUAUAAAUCAAGCAGAACUUCACUGAAGCAGAACAUCCACAUUCCAGGAAAGACCAUCUUGUUGAGAGCUGGGCAGGAAAUCUUGUUCUUCUGAGGACCCGUGAAGGGAAGGGAAGAUUCAUAGAUUCGCAGAAUUCAAAUCCACAUUAAGUGGAAUUACGCUGGUGUGAAUAUCGUGGGAAGUCUGACUCCGUUCAUGUCACGGCAUGAUAACAUGACUCUACUCCAAAAAAAAAAAAAAAGGACAUGAAGCCAAAAUUACUUGCAGAACUUUCUACCAUACAUGUUUGCCACAAACGCAUUGCAACAGCAUGUAAGCUUUUUACUAAAUACUCUGUAUAGCAUAGAUUUGCUCCUGAGAUUAAUUUUCAGAGCAAAAGCAUACAUUAUGACAUCCCUGGAGAAAAAUACAUGCACACCCAGUCCCCUUUUUGAUUAUCAUUUUACAUGUUUCAUUACAUUUCAAAUCAGGCCUCAGCUCAAUCAUUCAUUUUGCAAGUUAAAUAUUUGUGGGCUGAACUGAUGUCAUGUGGGGUUUGAACAUUAAGGUGCUUAGGUGCAGCCAGAUAAUUGCUCCUAUGUGAUUGCACAGACAAUUGUUUGCAGUUCAACUGUACGUGUCCAAAGCCAGAGUCUGUUUCUAAACACUAGGCUAUUAUUUAGAACACACUUCCUUUGCACCGUGACUUGCUUUCAACUUUAGUUCAAGUCAGAUUUUUCCUUACCCACAUCUAAUUGAAAGUGAAUUAUUUGCUUGUGGGUGAAGGAAACAGCUUCUUGCAAGGAUUAUUUUUACAGUUCAAUCUUUGCUUCUAAUGGGCUAGCUAGUUUUCUCAGUGGGAAGUCUGGAGCAAGGCAAAGAAAUGGACUCCUUACCAGGCUGAGUGUUGGGCCAAAUUCUGUGCUCAUGUGCUCGCUCUCUUUGACAUUGUACAGGUACAAACUCAGGGCAGACUGUAUUUGAUUUGUAUCUCCCUUGAACCUUCUCCUGGCCAUGAUAUGCAGGUUUCUCCUUAGAGGAUAGGGAGGAGGUGCAUCUGAUGCUGAAUCAGCUAUUUUACUUAAUUGACAGGCUUGCUGCUUUCAUCUUUGUUCAGUUAUUUUUAUCUUAUCAUAGUGCUCAGGAGCCCUAGACAUGAAACCAUGGCAUUUUUAUGUUGAGCUCUAUUGCAAACACAGAAUCCUCUUUUUCUCAUCUCUCUUUUGAAUCAGUGCACUUUUUGUUUCGGGUAGGUACUGAACUCAGGAACUGCCUGGCUAAAUUCAGCUUCAAGACUUUAAGAUCUGAUGCAGUCAGAGACUACAUUUUGCACUUCACAGUCUGAUCAUUCUUCCCCGUCUCUGGCUGUAUAUGAUCCCGUACCAUUAUGCAGUAAAGGGAGUUGAGGUGGUUUAAUUCAGAUUGAAAGGAAGGUGGAUUUUUUUUUUUGGAACUACAGUUAAUAGUAUCCUGUCAUUACACAGAAAGGGCUUUUGGGUAGACACUUUGGGUAGGCACAUUUAGGUUAUGCAAUUUAACUGCUUAUUUAAUUAUUAUUUCUUUUAUCUUGUUUCCAUUUUCAUUUUCAAGCCAAUCUGAUUCUCAGGAGAAUGUAAAUAUGCUUAAGAUCAGGGCUUUGGCUUCUGUAAAUUGUGAUAGUUUCAUUCUGAAGUGGAAGUGAGUUAAUGGAAUGUGUUUAUAGACAUCCUUGCUCGUUACUACAUUUUAUAUGCAAUUUUCUUGGGUAUCCCGUUCUGGCAUUUCCCUUUUUAAAUGCUUUCAGGCUCACAAUGAUAGUCACAUCCUCCCCAUAAUGGAUCAAUGCUUUCUUUUGGAGAUGAAGUAGCAAGGUCAGUGGGAUCAGGACACCAGGUGGAAAAAAACCCAAACAGUACAGAGAACGAUAUUCCAGUUAGACUCCAUUUGAUUGUAUGCCACAUAAAGCAUCGGCGUUGGGUUCAAUGUCCCUUACAUCUGGGAACCUGUAUAUCAAUAUGUUUGAAAGAGUCACCAGCAGUAAAGUUGACAAUAGAAGUGUUUUAAUAUAGAGUGUACCAUAGAAACCCAAUGUUUCUUUUGCAGUGAAUUAACAGUCUUUUUU